GAUUAACGCUGGCGGCGCACAUAAGACAUGCAAGUCGAACGAACUUAAUUCGAAAGUUUACUUUUGAAAGCGGUUAGUGGCGGACUGGUGAGUAACGCGUAAGCAAUCUGCCUAUCAGAGGGGAAUAACAGUGAGAAAUCACUGCUAAUACCGCAUAAGCUGUGAGGAGCACAUGCUCUAAAUAGAAAAGGAGUAAUCCGCUGAUAGAUGAGCUUGCGUCUGAUUAGUUAGUUGGUGAGGUAACGGCCCACCAAGACGAUGAUCAGUAGCCGGACUGAGAGGUUGAACGGCCACAUUGGGACUGAGAUACGGCCCAGACUCCUACGGGAGGCAGCAGUCGGGAAUAUUGCGCAAUGGAGGAAACUCUGACGCAGUGACGCCGCGUGCAGGAAGAAGGUUUUCGGAUUGUAAACUGCUUUAGACAGGGACGAAAUAAAUGACGGUACCUGUAGAAUAAGCUCCGGCUAACUACGUGCCAGCAGCCGCGGUAAUACGUAGGGAGCAAGCGUUAUCCGGAUUUAUUGGGUGUAAAGGGUGCGUAGACGGAAAGACAAGUUAGUUGUGAAAUACCUCGGCUUAACUGAGGAACUGCAACUAAAACUAUCUAUCUUGAGUACUGGAGGGGAAAGCGGAAUUCCUAGUGUAGCGGUGAAAUGCGUAGAUAUUAGGAAGAACACCGGUGGCGAAGGCGGCUUUCUGGACAGUAACUGACGUUGAUGCACGAAAGUGUGGGGAGCAAACAGGAUUAGAUACCCUGGUAGUCCACACCGUAAACGAUGGAUACUAGGUGUAGGUGAUGAU
rnacentral:rRNA from 1 species